GUCGUAUCAUUCGUGUUCGACAAAGCCUGGCGGUGUAUAGUGAUCGGGAGGCUGUUGAUCGCAGCUGCAUUGAGUCCUCGUAGCUGAGACGAGGGUGGAGAGGUGUGGUAAAAGGACGAGGUGGUGGAGGAGGCACGGGAGCUAAUGGUACAACGAGAGUACAAGAAAAAGAUAAUGGUUACAAGUAGAAUAAUGGAAAAGAGGACGAGCAUAUAGAGGCGUGUGUUGUGGCGGAUUUGGAAGUUGUCGUCGUCUAAGUCGUCGUCUUGCCAGUGGAACGUUAGAGAGUCGUUGGUAGACAUUGUGUUGUGUUAUGAUGGUGGGAGUUAUGUGGUCGUGUUAGGAUGGUGUUCCGGCAAUGCUUUAGAGUUAAGGGAAGGGACUAGUUGGGAAAAGGGAAAAGAUUGUUUAUUUAUGAGUUGGAUACUCUGUAAUUGCCCUAUCAAGAGUUUGUUUUUCAUACUUUUAAAUUGGAUAAAUAAAUAAAUAAAUAAGCACUAUGUCACUAGUAAAAUGAUUUACUUUAAUAGUUAUAUAUUUUCAUGUAACAAGUUGUUUUUUAAAAAGGAAAAAUUACAAGUUUUGUUCUU
rnacentral:lncRNA from 1 species